ensembl:lincRNA Gm12784 predicted gene 12784
GAAAUAAGCCCACUGUCUUGAGUUCAAGGAGGAUUGCAGAUGAUGGCACCUGGGAUGAUGGCACGCGCCUGGAAACCAGAGCAAGAGGAUCUCAAGUUUGAGCCUUCGGUAACUUUGCCCUCCACCUGGCUUAGAGACUGCUCCAGCUCUGCCCACUGCUGGGAAGGGUUUGGGUUUGUUUCUUCUACUUGGAAAGGAUUUCCCUCCCACCUUUGUGGCAUGAAGUGGGAACUUAAGGGUUCUUUGGGAAGUCAGUUGUGUUGGAUGGUGUUUUGCUAAAGCAAACACGUGAAGGAACGUUUUGCUGAAGGAGACACAGGAGAAAGGAUGUGCUGCUAAAGCAAACCCGUAAAAGGACAGGUGAUGAAGGAUUCUUUGAUAAUGACACACAUGUAUUGGUCUGCCUUACAUUGUGUUGUGACUCUUUAGAGAGAAAUGAACCAAAAAACUUCUGAUGGUGUGCUGAGGCUUCUUGCUGCUUCCGUGGACUCGGGCCGAUUGGCAGAGUGACAUCAGUUGAAACAGACUCACAUGCUGAUACAAAACACAUGGUGAGGCAAGGACAUGCGAUGUUUGGAGGAACUAUAGGUAGGACUCAACGGAUUGUGAGUGGGGUUUGGCUUGCUGGUAGAGCUAACUGUGCAAUUCUCAUCGGGCUUGUUGGGCUUGAGUCUCCACUGAUCUUCGCUUCUCUGAGAGAACUUCUCCUGGUUCGAAUCCCUCCUGCUGACUCAUGCCGAUUCCACUGCGGCCUAGCUGGUCGUUUUAGUUACGCCACUGCUGCUGCUACCCCGGCACUACUGAACUGGACAGCUGAUGUGUCCAAGAAGUGUCUGAGAGCGGAUCGAGCUGCCACUGCUGACCUGUGAACUGAACGGCUGACUUCCUGACAAUGCAGAUGGAAGUUGCUCCAAAGAACCUUCUAUAAAUAGGUCCACUUCCCCUAGCUUCAGGACAGGUUCCAGGGUCCUGGGUGUGGGUGAGCAGUGACUUCAAAAAUGCAUACAGGGCUGGAGAUGUGGCUCAGUGGUUAAGAGUGCUUGUUGCUCGGCCAGAGGACCCAAGUUCCAUCCCCAGCACCCACACUGAAUGGAUUAGCAUCUCACAACCACCUCUGACUUAAGCUAGAGGGGAUCUGGCGCCCUCUUCUGGCCUCUUCAGGAGACCCAGUUGUGUCAUGUGAUGUCUUUCUGGAAGCUGUCUUGUGAGAGGAUGUUUUGCUGAGAACAGACCAGUGGCAUUUUUCUGGAAGCUGCCUGGUGAAAGGCCAUGGGAUGUUUUGCUGGAGCAGAUGCUUGAGAGGACAUGGGAUGUUGGGAAAGAGUGUAAGUAUAACCCCACAGACAGUGGACAACGCUCUGGCAUGGGUUCGCCUUGCAACUCUUUGCUGAUCUUCACUUGUCAUGAUUUCAUGGAGAGAAACACACCAAAGAACUUCUGAUGGUAUUCUAGCUGCUUCAAUGAACUCAUGGUGAUUGACAGAGCCUCGAGGUUUCUUCUGGAUUGAGCCAUUGCUGCUGAGUUUGGUGUUCUGCUAACGGACUGGACAACUGACAACAAAAUAUUAGAAUGAGCCUAAAGAACUGGUGCACUUCCACGGACUCGUGCUGAGCAGUGGGUCCUCAUGGUUUCUUCUGGAUCAAGCAGCCGCUACUGACUCACGUUUGGUGUUUGCUGAGUGGACUGGACUGCUAAAUACGAAGAUUAAAACUGACCCAAAGAACUACUUCUAAACAGGUCCCCAACCCCUGUUUCCUAUUGGUCAAUUCUUUCCCCCUAGUUCUGGUGGGUGGUAGGCUACAAGGGAGGUUAAAGCAUUGAAGAAUCAUCAUUAAAGUAGGUUUUGAAAAAUGUAACCCUUCAGGAUACACCUCAGGCAUAAAGGUAGAAGCCAGAUGGGCUGGUGUACACUUGGCAUUUCAGAACUCACAGGGUAGAGGCAGGAGGAUUGCACAUUUGAAGGAAGCAGGAAUAACAGUGUGAUGUAUGUCUCAAGGAAACGAAAGAAGGAGGGGAGGGGAGGGGAGGGGAGGGGAGGGGAGGGCCUUGGCCCCUGAGCCAUCCAUCUUCACUGCUCCACAGAUAGACAGGUUUUUUUUGUUUUUUUUAAAGAUAGCCCUCCUUACUGUAUGUCAUACAGGCUGCCUGUAUGACAAUCUGAAUGCUGUGCCUGCUCCCUGUCUCCCGGUCCUCAGAUGUACCUGGAGAAUAUCACCAGUGGGCAUUUGUACAAUCUCCAACCAUAGUCCCACAGCCCUGCUGCUGUAAGUCAUGGGACAAAGGACGCUUGGGGAUUGAAGUCUCUUUGCAGGACCCUUCGUGCCCCUGCUCUUUUCAGUUUGCUUUUCUUUUUUGAGACAGUCCCCAGGUACCCUGGGCUUCCCCCAAGCUUGAGAUCCUCCUGCCUCAGCCUCCCUAGUGCUAGGAUGCAGGCAUAGGCCACCAGACCUGGCUUUCUCAGCACCGGAAUCUUUGGGGAAGGUUGUCUCAUUCUCUUCCCCAUGGAGAAUUCAGUAGCAGCUUAGCAAGGAUCUCUGAGAGUAAAGCCAGCGUGGUACUAGUCGCCAAGUGGGACCUUCUUGUCCAGAACGAAGCUUUUGAUUUUGACUUUCUUAUUCCCAAAGGGGAAUCUCCCAACUCUUGCUCACUGAGAAAGAAAACAGAUGACUCUGUAGAGAUUGUGCAAUAAACAUCUUACUAAUUAAGGUUCCCAAGAUGACAAAUUUCUUGUUCCCAGAUGAAACACGUGGUUUUCGCCAAAUUAUAAAGCAGUUGUCUGUCAUUCUGUAACCACAGAAUGGAAUCUGUUUUGUAAAAUAACUGCUUAACGGUUGGUAAUCUAAUAAGUGACCAAAUGAGACGUUCCCUCUGGUCCAAUAGUGGCGUGACUAUUACAGCAGUAACACCAGGUUUUGUUUGUUGUUUUAUUGUUAUUGUUCUUGUUUCUGAGAUAGAAUUUCACCAAGUAACUGAAAUCCUGGAAGUCUCAGCUCUCAGUGGAGAUCAGAGUAGCCUUGAAUUCCCAGAGAUCUGCCUGCUUCCCAAAAACUGGAACCAUACCUGGCUCCCAACUACUUUCUGAUUAGAUCUGAGGCCUGUUCCACAGAGGGGGAAUUCUUGCUUGUCACUGGAAACUUGGUAAGAAGCCCAUGUCUAGGGACAUAGGCUGUAAGGGGACCUAUUGUUUUGUCAAAUGGAUGUGUGGUCAAACUGCUGUCUAAAGUAUGUGCAUUCGUGUCCAUAGAUAAUGAUGCUCUCUGGUAAUAAAUGCAGAAAUUCAUAACAGGUC